GACGAACGCUGGCGGCGUGCCUAAUACAUGCAAGUCGAGCGAUGAAGAUUGGUGCUUGCACCAAUUUGAAGAGCAGCGAACGGGUGAGUAACGCGUGGGGAAUCUGCCUUUGAGCGGGGGACAACAUUUGGAAACGAAUGCUAAUACCGCAUAACAACUUUAAACAUAAGUUUUAAGUUUGAAAGAUGCAAUUGCAUCACUCAAAGAUGAUCCCGCGUUGUAUUAGCUAGUUGGUGAGGUAAAGGCUCACCAAGGCGAUGAUACAUAGCCGACCUGAGAGGGUGAUCGGCCACAUUGGGACUGAGACACGGCCCACACUCCUACGGGAGGCAGCAGUAGGGAAUCUUCGGCAAUGGGCGAAAGUCUGACCGAGCAACGCCGCGUGAGUGAAGAAGGUUUUCGGAUCGUAAAACUCUGUUGGUAGGGAAGAACGUUGGUGAGAGUGGAAAGCUCAGCAAGUGACGGUACCUACCCAGAAAAGGCCGGCGAACUACGU
rnacentral:rRNA from 1 species